GGCGGCAUGCCUUACACAUGCAAGUCGGACGGCAGCACGGGGGCAACCCUGGUGGCGAGUGGCGAACGGGUGAGUAACAUAUCGGAACGUGCCCUGGAGUGGGGGAUAACUAGUCGAAAGACUAGCUAAUACCGCAUACGAUCUACGGAUGAAAGUGGGGGAUCGCAAGACCUCAUGCUCGUGGAGCGGCCGAUAUCUGAUUAGCUAGUUGGUGGGGUAAAGGCCUACCAAGGCAUCGAUCAGUAGCUGGUCUGAGAGGACGACCAGCCACACUGGGACUGAGACACGGCCCAGACUCCUACGGGAGGCAGCAGUGGGGAAUUUUGGACAAUGGGCGCAAGCCUGAUCCAGCAAUGCCGCGUGAGUGAAGAAGGCCUUCGGGUUGUAAAGCUCUUUUGUCAGGGAAGAAACGGGCCGGGCUAAUACCUUGGCCUAAUGACGGUACCUGAAGAAUAAGCACCGGCUAACUACGUGCCAGCAGCCGCGGUAAUACGUAGGGUGCAAGCGUUAAUCGGAAUUACUGGGCGUAAAGCGUGCGCAGGCGGUUUGUGCAAGACCGAUGUGAAAUCCCCCGGGCUUUAACCCUGGGGAAUGGGAUUGGUGACUGGACGGGCUAAAGUGGUGUCAGAGGGGGGGUAGAAUUUCCACGUGUAGCAGUUGAAAUGCGUAGAGAUGU
rnacentral:rRNA from 1 species